rnacentral:rRNA from 1 species
GAUGAACGCUGGCGGCGUGCUUAACACAUGCAAGUCGAACGAAGCACUUUAUUUUUUUUCCUUCGGUCCUGAUUAUUUUGUGUCUGAGUGGCGGACGUGUGAGUAACGCGUGGGUAACCUGCCUUGUACAGGGGGAUAACAUUUCGAAACGGCUGCUAAUACCGCAUAAUCGCACAUCAUCGCAUGAUGCAUUUUGAAAACCUCCGGUGGUAUAUGAUGGACCCGCUUUGGAUUAGCUAGUUGGUGAGGUAACGGCCCACCAAGGCUACGAUCCAGAGCCGAGGAGGGAGGGGGACAGGCGACAUUGGGACUGAGACACGGACGAAAAUGGUACGGGAGGGAGCAGUGGGGAAUAUAGCAAAAUGGGGGAAAGCGUGAUGAAGCGACGCCGCGUGAGCGAAGAAGUAUGUCGGUAUGUAAAGCUGUAUGAGAAGGGAAGAUAAUGACGGUAACUGACAAAGAAGCACCGGCUAAAUACGUG